rnacentral:rRNA from 1 species
UACGAAGGAUUCGAGCGUUAUCCGGAUUUAUUGGGUUUAAAGGGUGCGUAGGUGGACUAAUAAGUCAGUGGUGAAAGCCCGCAGCUUAACUGCGGAACUGCCAUUGAUACUGUUAGUCUUGAGUACAGUUGAGGUGGGCGGAAUGUGUCAUGUAGCGGUGAAAUGCUUAGAUAUGACACAGAACACCGAUUGCGAAGGCAGCUCACUAAGCUGUAACUGACACUGAGGCACAAAAGCGUGGGGAGCAAACAGG